rnacentral:misc_RNA from 1 species
AAGUCGUAACAAGGUCUCCGUAGGUGAACCUGCGGAGGGAUCAUUAACACGUAAUCUCACGAUUACAAACCAAAAAACCACGUGCUUUCUGUCUUCUGUUUGAAGUAGGAUCGUGCAGCGAGAUGUUGGGCUAGAGCGCUCGCUGUCGGUCAUUCCAAACUACUUUGAGUAGAAGUAAAACUCAUUUUCAAUUCUCUCUUGGCCUAACCCUUUAACCCCAACCACAAAAUUUUAUAUACAUCACUACUGAUUUAACUCAUUCUUGUCGAAAGGCUUGAGUGAAGGUUUUUUACGAAACCAAAGAACAACUCUUAGCAGUGGAUAUCUUGGCUCCCGU